rnacentral:lncRNA from 1 species
GUCAGAGUCAACCUCUUCAUAAUACUACUAAUCACAUGAUAAAGAAUAUCAAACCCCCAAUACAAGUUCACAAAUAUUCUGGAGUAUACACUAUACCAAUCUAUAAUAAUGCCCCUACACAACAUGAAAUAUGCAUAGGUAGUACAGUAAGAGCUUUAGCAAUCAGAUUUAAAGAGCAUAAAAAUGAUAUACAGGCAGUUAGACUAAUGACUGCAUUGGCAAAGAAGGUCUAUGAAUAUAAUAUAAAUGUUUUUGGGACAGGGCCAAAGUGAUAAAACCUGUCAACAACAUAGAACAAAUCAGACUAGCAGAGGCCAUGGUCGUUAAUCACUACAGAAACAGAUUUUUUGUACUUGAUAAAUAAUCUGCCAUGUAACAUACUGACACCCUGGAGUUGUAUGUAAAACAUUUUGUUAUCA